UUUUAUCUGUUUUAUUAGCAAACAUUCAGUAAUUCUUUUAUAUCUUGAGAAAUAUCUGAUCUAAUGCAAGAUAUUUCCAUCUGUUUUUGAACUGUUAAUAUAUCGUUUGUCAUACUGUUUAACUUAUCUUUAGGUCUUACUCGGCAUUGGGGAGAUAAUUUCUUCUAGGUCCUGUCCUAAGGUACUUCUGUUGAUUGGUUCUCAUGAUAGAGAGACAAGUGGCUUCUCUGCGUCUUCUUUUGUUACGGCUAUUACAGAUGCUCUGAAUCGUACAUAUGGAGAUUCUCAUAAUUGUUUAAGAAACCUUCCAAGUCAGUACAUCAAUACACUUUUGGUGCCCAAAGAUGGUGAAAUCCCCAUAGACAUCCAAGGCUUGUCUUCCCAAGGAAUCUUUGACGUGGUAUGUUUGCCUACAACCAUAAUCCUAUUCUUAUCAAACCAAUUUCUUACCAUUUCUAAUGGGAACUGACUCAUAUGGUCAUGCACUGAGUUAGUUCUAUUAAGUCAGUUUCUUAUGAGGAGAAC